rnacentral:rRNA from 1 species
CCAGAGUCUGAAUCAGCUUGUGUGUUAGUGGAACGGUCUGGAAAGUCCGACGGUACAGGGUGAUAGUCCCGUACACCAAAAUGCACAGGUUGUGAACUCGAAGAGUAGGGCGGGACACGUGGUAUCCUGUCUGAAUAUGGGGGGACCAUCCUCCAAGGCUAAAUACUCCUGACUGACCGAUAGUGAACCAGUACCGUGAGGGAAAGGCGAAAAGAACCCCGGCGAGGGGAGUGAAAAAGAACCUGAAACCGUGUACGUACAAGCAGUGGGAGCACCUUCGGGUGUGACUGCGUACCUUUUGUAUAAUGGGUCAGCGACUUAUAUUCUGUAGCAAGGUUAACCGUAUAGGGGAGCCGCAGGGAAACCGAGUCUUAACUGGGCGUUAAGUUGCAGGGUAUAGACCCGAAACCCGGUGAUCUAGCCAUGGGCAGGUUGAAGGUUGGGUAACACUAACUGGAGGACCGAACCGACUAAUGUUGAAAAAUUAGCGGAUGACUUGUGGCUGGGGGUGAAAGGCCAAUCAAACCGGGAGAUAGCUGGUUCUCCCCGAAAGCUAUUUAGGUAGCGCCUCGUGAAUUCAUCUUCGGGGGUAGAGCACUGUUUCGGCUAGGGGGUCAUCCCGACUUACCAACCCGAUGCAAACUACGAAUACCGAAGAAUGUUAUCACGGGAGACACACGGCGGGUGCUAACGUCCGUCGUGAAGAGGGAAACAACCCAGACCGCCAGCUAAGGUCCCAAAGUCAUGGUUAAGUGGGAAACGAUGUGGGAAGGCACAGACAGCCAGGAUGUUGGCUUAGAAGCAGCCAUCAUUUAAAGAAAGCGUAAUAGCUCACUGGUCGAGUCGGCCUGCGCGGAAGAUGUAACGGGGCUAAACCAUGCACCGAAGCUGCGGCAGCGACACUAUGUGUUGUUGGGUAGGGGAGCGUUCUGUAAGCCUGCGAAGGUGACCUGUGAGGGUUGCUGGAGGUAUCAGAAGUGCGAAUGCUGACAUAAGUAACGAUAAAGCGGGUGAAAAGCCCGCUCGCCGGAAGACCAAGGGUUCCUGUCCAACGUUAAUCGGGGCAGGGUGAGUCGACCCCUAAGGCGAGGCCGAAAGGCGUAGUCGAUGGGAAACAGGUUAAUAUUCCUGUACUUGGUGUUACUGCGAAGGGGGGACGGAGAAGGCUAUGUUAGCCGGGCGACGGUUGUCCCGGUUUAAGCAUGUAGGCUGGUUGUCCAGGCAAAUCCGGAUAAUCAAGGCUGAGGUGUGAUGACGAGGCACUACGGUGCUGAAGUAACAAAUGCCCUGCUUCCAGGAAAAGCCUCUAAGCAUCAGGUAACAUCAAAUCGUACCCCAAACCGACACAGGUGGUCAGGUAGAGAAUACCAAGGCGCUUGAGAGAACUCGGGUGAAGGAACUAGGCAAAAUGGUGCCGUAACUUCGGGAGAAGGCACGCUGGUGUGUAGGUGAAGUCCCUGCGGAUGGAGCUGAGACCAGUCGAAGAUACCAGCUGGCUGCAACUGUUUAUUAAAAACACAGCACUGUGCAAACACGAAAGUGGACGUAUACGGUGUGACGCCUGCCCGGUGCCGGAAGGUUAAUUGAUGGGGUUAUCCGUAAGGAGAAGCUCUUGAUCGAAGCCCCGGUAAACGGCGGCCGUAACUAUAACGGUCCUAAGGUAGCGAAAUUCCUUGUCGGGUAAGUUCCGACCUGCACGAAUGGCGUAAUGAUGGCCAGGCUGUCUCCACCCGAGACUCAGUGAAAUUGAACUCGCUGUGAAGAUGCAGUGUACCCGCGGCAAGACGGAAAGACCCCGUGAACCUUUACUAUAGCUUGACACUGAACAUUGAGCCUUGAUGUGUAGGAUAGGUGGGAGGCUUUGAAGCGUGGACGCCAGUCUGCGUGGAGCCAACCUUGAAAUACCACCCUUUAAUGUUUGAUGUUCUAACGUUGGCCCCUUAUCGGGGUUGCGGACAGUGUCUGGUGGGUAGUUUGACUGGGGCGGUCUCCUCCCAAAGCGUAACGGAGGAGCACGAAGGUUAGCUAAUCCUGGUCGGACAUCAGGAGGUUAGUGCAAUGGCAUAAGCUAGCUUGACUGCGAGCGUGACGGCGCGAGCAGGUGCGAAAGCAGGUCAUAGUGAUCCGGUGGUUCUGAAUGGAAGGGCCAUCGCUCAACGGAUAAAAGGUACUCCGGGGAUAACAGGCUGAUACCGCCCAAGAGUUCAUAUCGACGGCGGUGUUUGGCACCUCGAUGUCGGCUCAUCACAUCCUGGGGCUGAAGUAGGUCCCAAGGGUAUGGCUGUUCGCCAUUUAAAGUGGUACGCGAGCUGGGUUUAGAACGUCGUGAGACAGUUCGGUCCCUAUCUGCCGUGGGCGCUGGAGAAUUGAGGGGGGCUGCUCCUAGUACGAGAGGACCGGAGUGGACGCAUCACUGGUGUUCGGGUUGUCAUGCCAAUGGCACUGCCCGGUAGCUAAAUGCGGAAGAGAUAAGUGCUGAAAGCAUCUAAGCACGAAACUUGCCCCGAGAUGAGUUCU